GUGAAAGGUGGAGGAAGUGUCAUGGUUUGGGGGAUGUUUUCUGCAGCAGAAGUUGAGCCUAUUAUACAGCUACAUGGCUAAGUGAAUGCAAAUGUUUAUCAGA